CUUUGAGGCUCAGUCUGUGCGUGGAAAUUUUGAUGACCUGACAGUGACCAGGCUUUUGUUGCACCAAUUAAAAAUCUUCUUAACAGCUUUUUGACAUUGAUGACUUGAACUGAAGACAAGCGCUGAGUCUUGUACCGAAGAGCAAGAGUGAUACACGUAUCGGCUUUGCCACCACAUCGCGGCCCCGCAGCUGGCUGCAGAGCCUGCCAAGCAGCCAGCAGCUGCUGCUGCUGCAGGAGAAAAUGUUUUCUACAGCUGAGCAGCUGGGGCCUGUGACUGCCAUGCAAAGGCCGGAAAUAAUAGUUCAAAAUGGUGAGGAAAAAGAAGAGAGAAAAGAGGCAAAGGGAAAAGGAAGACUGAGAGAAGUAAACAAACAGAAGGAAGAGAUGGGAAGAUGGUAGAGAAUUCCCGUAGAAGGACCCUCACUGAGAGGUGCCUCUACUCCAGACUGUGGCACAGGACACUGUGGCCUACAACCAUUGCCUACAUGCCUGAGGCUUUGCAGGCCAGCAGGAUGUCUUCUUCACCACCAGCCAUUUCAGG
ensembl:lncRNA